GAAACCGUCAGGUUCACUUCCUGCUUCUGCAGUUUUAUCUGCGUCUGAAACUAAAACGAUUCAGUUUAAAUCAGAUUUCUUUACUUUGAUUCUUAAUUGGGGUUCAGCAGAGUAGGAAUGAGCCGUUAGCAUCAUAUCUGCAGUAGAGGGAAGUCAGUUUGUAAUUGAGAAAUUCUCCUUAUUUAAUGCAUAGCUCUGGAUUUUUGCUUUUGUUGGAUGUUUAUAAGGAGUUCAUAUCUUACCUGAAGUAGAUAGAUGACAUUUUCAUUUAGUGUAAAUCCAGAUCAGUUAGUGCUGGAGGAUGUAGCUAGGCUAGCUAGCAUGUAGCCCCACAAAGGCUAAAGGGAAGAUUGUUGGUGGUGCACCGCCUCCACUGUGAGUUUAUCCUGUCUGGAGCUUCAGCCUGAUCUGACAGAAAGUUUUUACUGCAGCAGAAUCCCGUCUGAUGGAUCUGGUGUGAAGCCUCACCCGUCCGGCUGCUCAGAGAGGAAACCGGGCCUCCCAGGUUCCCGUCUGGUUUCUGUGGC